AGGAAUAUUGCACAAUGGGCGCAAGCCUGAUGCAGCAACGCCGCGUGAGGGACGAAGGCCUUCGGGUUGUAAACCUCUUUUCUGAGGGACGAGGAAGGACGGUACCUCAGGAAUAAGUCUCGGCUAACUACGUGCCAGCAGCCGCGGUAAAACGUAGGAGGCGAGCGUUAUCCGGAUUUACUGGGCGUAAAGCGCGCGCAGGUGGCUUCGUGAGUCGGACAUGAAAGCUCCUGGCUUAACUGGGAGAGGCUGUUCGAUACUGCGGGGCUUGAGGUUGGGAGAGGGACGCGGAAUUCCCGGUGUAGUGGUGGAAUGCGUAGAUAUCGGGAGGAACACCAGUGGCGCAAGCGGCGUCCUGGCCCACACCUGACGCUGAGGUGCGAAAGCGUGGGUAGCAAACAG
rnacentral:rRNA from 1 species